UCCUGGCUCAGGAUGAACGCUAGCGGCAGGCUUAACACAUGCAAGUCGAGGGGCAGCGAGUAGAUUGCUUGCAAUCUACGUCGGCGACCGGCGCACGGGUGCGUAACGCGUAUGCAACUACCCAGUUACAGGGGGAUAACACUGAGAAAUCGGUACUAAUACCCCAUAACAUCCAGGGAGGCAUCUUCUUGGGUUGAAAACUCCGGUGGUAAUGGAUGGGCAUGCGUUGUAUUAGUUAGUUGGUGGGGUAACGGCUCACCAAGACAACGAUACAUAGGGGGACUGAGAGGUUAACCCCCCACAUUGGUACUGAGACACGGACCAAACUCCUACGGGAGGCAGCAGUGAGGAAUAUUGGUCAAUGGACGCAAGUCUGAACCAGCCAUGCCGCGUGCAGGAAGACGGCUCUAUGAGUUGUAAACCGCUUUUGUACGAGGGUAAACGCAGAUACGCGUAUCUGUCUGAAAGUAUCGUACGAAUAAGGAUCGGCUAACUCCGUG
rnacentral:rRNA from 1 species